rnacentral:rRNA from 1 species
UGAGGAACAUGACCUUCGGCGGGGGAUAGCCGGCCCAACGGCCGGGUAAUACCGCGUACGACCACUUUGGGACAUCCCUCGGUGGUGAAAGCAGCAAUCCGCCGAUGGAGUGCCUCGCGGCCUAUCAGCUAGUUGGUGAGGUAACGGCUCACCAAGGCGACGACGGGUAGCUGGUCUGAGAGGAUGGCCAGCCACAUUGGGACUGAGACACGGCCCAGACCUCCGUACGGGAGNAG